rnacentral:rRNA from 1 species
GACGAACCGAGCGAACGUUAUUCGGAAUCACUGGGCUUAAAGGGCGCGUAGGCGGGCCAUCAAGUCAGGGGUGAAAGCCCCCAGCUCAACUGGGGAAGUGCCUCUGAUACUGGUGGCCUCGAGGGAGGUAGGGGCGUGCGGAACUUCCGGUGGAGCGGUGAAAUGCGUAGAUAUCGGAAGGAACACCGGUGGCGAAAGCGGCGCGCUGGACCUCUUCUGACGCUGAGGCGCGAAAGCCAGGGGAG